UUUAUUUGAGAUUAAUAUAAUUUCAAAAUAAGUUCUCUUCUCAAAGAUAAGUCCUUGUUAGCUAUUGUUCUUUGUUCUUGGUUAUACAUCAAUUUGGUAUCAAAGUGAAAACUCUAUGCUUGCACCCUUCAGCCAUGCCUUCAAAAUCCCACCUUCCAAGCUUCCCUUAGCCUCGAAAUUUGUGCUUCCUUUUACUGUUCAUUAAAAAAAAGAAAGAGAAAAAGAAAAAGUCAUGGUGCAGUAGACAUUGUUUUCAAGAAUGAAAGUGAAGGCCGAACAAAAAGUGCCAUUGAAAUUUCGUUCAUCCAUUCAAAAAGUUGAUUUUAUUUAAGAAGCUUUGAAUGGAAUUCAUAGCUCAAGCGCGUUGAACCAUUUCAAUUUUCAAUCACUUUCCCAAUAAAAAAAUUUAUAUUUCCUUUAUAGCCUACUUUUUAUAUUAGACUUCUUCCUACCUCAAGCUAACUCAAUUAACCUUCAAAAAUACACAUUUCUUCUUCUUCUUCUUCCUCAUUUCUCUCUUCUUUUCAUCUACCAGAAAAUCUUGAAAGAUUAAAGAAGAAUGGCAGAAGCACUUACAGAAGAUCAGAUUACAGAGUUUCGUGAAGCCUUUUGCUUGAUUGACAAGGACUCGGAUGGCUUCAUUACAAUGGAAGAACUAACAACCAUUAUCCAAUCGCUGGAUGGACAUCCUACAAAAGAAGACGUUCGAGACAUGAUAAGUGAAGUUGAUGUUGAUGGAAAUGGAACAAUAGAUUUUCAGGAGUUCUUGAACAUUAUGGGAAGGAAAAUGAAGGAAAAUGUUUCUGAAGAGCUAAAAGAAGCUUUCAAAGUAUUUGACAGAAACCAGGAUGGAUAUAUAUCAGCUAAUGAGCUAAGGCAAGUGAUGAUAAAUUUGGGAGAGAGAUUAACAGAGGAGGAAGCUGAACAGAUGAUAAGAGAGGCUGAUUUGGAUGGUGAUGGUCUAGUUAGUUAUGAGGAAUUUGCCAGGAUGAUGAUGGCCUUCUAAUCUGUACGAAAAACAUAGAUCAUGAUCCUUGUAUGCUUGGUUCUUUAGUUUUCUUCUUUGCUUGUCAGGUAGAAUUAGAAAGCAAUGAACUCCUCGUUAUAAAGGCAUAUGCGCAGUAGAAUGAAAGAAAAGGAAAGAAAAAGCUAUUAUGUCAUGUUGAUUAUUGAUAUGAAUAAGAAUCAAAUAGCACAGUACAGAAAGCUUCAUCAUCAGAAUAGAAAAAUAUGAGCAGAAAAUUAUAACAUGAUUCCUUGUUGCCUAUCAAAUUCAAUUCAUACGCCUAGUCCUAGAAACAAGUUCCAUGGUCUUUCAAUGUAGCUGACGGGCAUAAUUUCUCCAUUUUGGGUUUGGCAUUCACAUCAUUGUAAUUUAUGGGUAGUCAAAAUACUGUUAUUGCGUAUUGUUUCCAUUUUGUCCAAG
rnacentral:misc_RNA from 1 species